rnacentral:snRNA from 1 species
UUUAAAAACAGCGACCUAUAAGG